GUGGAUUAGAUACCCUAGUAGUCCCGACCGUAAACGGUGUACACUAGGGGUGGGGAGAUUUCAACCUUCCCGUCCCCAAGCUAACGCGUUAAGUGUACCGCCUGGGGAGUACGGCCGCAAGGCUAAAACUCAAAGAAAUUGACGGGGGCCCGCACAAGCAGAGGAGCAUGUGGCUUAAUUCGAUGCAACGCGAAGAACCUUACCUGGGUUUGACAUGCAGCUGCACGGCCUAUGAAAGUAGGCUUCCUUCGAGGGUGCUGCACAGGUGCUGCAUGGCCGUCGCCAACU
rnacentral:rRNA from 1 species